ACACCCAUGGCAGGUGGAAGUUCCCCGGCCAGGAAUUGACCCUGAGCCACAGCAGUGACUCGAGCCACAGCAAUGACAACGCCAGGCCCCCAGUCUGCUGAAACACCAGGGCACUCUCUUGCGUUGUUUUUUCAAUUGGAGUCGCUUACCUGACCCUGCUCAGCCUUAGCAUCAGUAGGGAAGAAGCUAGAUGGAAAGACAUCACCUGCGCCAUGAAGUUGAGAAAGACCAGCGGCCUGUGAUGGACUUGAAUCCAUAUUCCCAGGCUCACUGCUCCAUCUGCAGUUACACAGGACCCAGAAAUAUCAUGCCACAAAGCAUGAGACAACAAAUCACCACAUCACCAUUCUUCGAAAAAUAGACAUAAAAUGUCACCCACGCGUCAUCAGGGUCCCUGCCCCAGGAGGUCUGGGUGGACUUCACCCAUCCCAGCACUAUGGCCCAUGGCUGGCUGGAGCCCUCACUUGAUGUCCGUGCAUCUCUGUCCUCUGGGCCCCUCUGGCCUCACAGGCUGGCCCUGACCGACCCUGAGCCUCAGAACCUGCCUCGCCAGCAGUUUCCCACAGAAACGCCUUCCACAUCAAGUGGUCUGUGCUUUUUUGUUUGCCGUGGGCUAGAGAUGUUGCAUGUCAGAGAAACAGUCGCCCACACGGCACACAAAGAGACCAUCUCCUGAGUGUCCGCACUGCUUCCCCUGCCCCCUCCCCUUCCCCCUGGUGCGGCCAAGCGCUCCCCACCUGAUUCUGGCCCCAGAGUCAGGUCUGUCCUUGGUCCCUUUAAGGUAUAAGCUUCUCCCGUAGUUAAUGCAUGAAGAAAAUCCCUCCCUCUCUGUCUCUCUCUCCCCCUCUCAUUCUCCAUUAUGGACUUUUGGUGAUUCUGAGUUUCUGUCUCAUUUCAUUCAAUACACAGUAGAGCUUAACAGGACUCUUCUUUAGAAAUUGCCUUAAAUAAUUGCCUUAAAUAGGAUUGUUGGGAAACACUGACUAUUUUCAAGUUUCGAUGGGGUCAGGGUCAGGGCUGUCUGAGCAGCGUGGUGGCACCUGGAGGGGAAGCCGCUUGGACAGCCAUGAGCACAGCAGUGCGGGUUGCAAGUUGAAGAUCACGGCCCCUGGCGAGAUGGUCAGCUCUCUUGCCCCUGGAGACAGGUAUUGACGUUCCAAAGGGUAAUGAACCUGAGGACCUUCCUGUUCCCUCUCUUUCUCUCUGGGUUGGGGGUGGGGGGGACGGGGAGCAGAUGGACCCUCAGCUCCUAUAUUAGCUUCAAGAUUCAGUCUUGGAGUCCUUCCCCUGGGGUGCAAGCCCCUAGACAUGCAGAGUCAUCUGGGCCUCACAGCGGUUCCCCGAGGGAAGACGGCCCAUGAGCGACCAGCACGAGGAUGGCUGGGUCAGUAAGUCAACCUUGGAUCCAGAAAGCAUGUGUUUCCUCUCAGGACAAGUAAGACGUCUGGAUGUAAAAACACACAAUGUGGCACGAGGGUAUCCACUUUUUUGCAAUUUGAUAGAAGACGGAUCUCCAAAUUUUGAACUGCAUUGUUUCUUUGGAAACUGUUGACUGAAAGAAUAUGCACAACCUAAAAGUUGAGAGUUAAGUUUUAUUUGGAGCAAAAUGAGGACUUAAGCCCUAGGCGGCAGCAUCUCAAGUAACCCUGAGAAAAGCGCUCCAAGGAAGCGAGGCGGGAGCUGGGAUAUACAGGACAAAGAGCAGGUAGGAACAAAAGACCACUCUUAAUAACAGGAAACCCAGGAGUUCCCGUCGUGGCGCAGUGGAAACAAAUCCAACUAGGAACCAUGAGGUUUCGGGUUCGAUCCCUGGUCUCACUCAAUGGGUUAAGGAUCUGGUGUUGCCAUGAGCUGGAAUGUAGGCUGCAGACGCAGCUCGGAUCCUGUGUUGCUGUGGCUGUGGUAUAGGCUGGCAACUGUAGCUCCAAUUUGACCCCUACCUGGGAAAGAGAGGUUCGUGAAGAAAAAUCAGGGAAGAAACCAUCAAAAUCUCUGACAAUGUAUUUUCUGGUGAGGCGUUGGGUAUUUCAUUAAAUCUAAGAUACUAACAAUUAUAAGAGGAAUCAUCAUUUUAGGGACCACUAAGAAAAACAGAAACAAGCUGCCAAUUAAACUAUGACAAAAUGCCUUCUGGGACCUCAGAAUUUCCAUUUAGGCUUAUUUAGAUUUAGAUGUUUAUGCUAUAGGGACACGUUGUGGUGCAUAUUUACAGUCUAACACAUGUGGAUGUCUUUCCAGUUUAGUCUCAUCGAUGUUCGUGCUGCUGACACAGCAAUUUUUUUCUUUUUCUUUUAAAAAAUGCUUGGAUGGUCCUUUCCAUUCAGCAGUUUAAUACUGGAACUUUCUGGAUUUCUCUAGAAGGUGUCAAUGACAGGCUGGCAAGCAACAACCGGGAAUUGAGUUUCUUUUGGUGUUACCUGGACUUUUAGGUUAACUAAAGCAGCCCAUUUGUGGCCUCUCAAACAUACAUUGUACACCUGCUUUAAUCAUUAAAGAAAAUGGUGCAUUGACCAGAAGUGAAGAAUGUCCACCUUAAAAAUAAAGAUGAAAUCCCACCCUUCCUGGGACAGCAAGGCUGGUGCUUCUUCGAUGAUAAGAGUCCUUUCCUGGGUGUCAAAGCCAUACUGAUUGGCUACUAGCUGUCUUUAAAACAAACACAUAAAAAACCCCAAAACGGGAAGGAAUGUAUCCAUGAUUUCUUUAGUGUUCCUCCUCUAACGAGGUAUAAAACCAGCGAAAACCAUGCUUCUCCAGAGCAGUUCCUUAGAGUUCUUGGAGAGGUUUCCCCGGGGAGAGUCAGUCCUCAGUCUGGCUCAGAUAAAACUCUUUUCUAUUCCUAUUAUAGGUGGUUCAUUAGUUAUUUCUGUCGACAAUGCCCUGAAAUCGCCAAAUGCAGGGCCGCAAGGACCCACCACUAGAGCAGGAUGGCAGCCAGUCGGUGCACCGAGCACAGCAACCGCACUGGGUCCUCGCGGGGAGCCAGCUCCACGCAGGCUCCUAGCCACCCCGAGGCAGAAGUGGGGACGGCCAGGAACGGGAGCCGGCACCCACCCGGGGACAAGAGACUUCUGGUCGGGGGAGGCUGGGCAGCACUUGGAGGGGAAAACCCUACCUGUGAUUGUUCCAGGCCCCCUCCCUAACCCUCUCAGUGACCCGCGCUGAGCAGGUACGCAGGGGCUGGUGAAUUCAUUCCUUUCACACAGAGGGCCCAAGCAGUGAUUGAAUCGCUGGAAAUUCAGCAGUAAACCCAGCAUGAGCGUCCCCCAGAAAGUGGACUAACUUCUCACAGGGGCCACAGACAGGGGAGCAGAUCCUGAGUCAGUGGGCGGUGAAUAUCUGGAAGUUUCUAGAAGCAGGUGGGGGCGGGCGGGAUUGGGGAAAGAUGAGGGUGGCUGCUGCUGAAAUGAAUUGGCAGGAUAAUGCGCCCCAAGUGCUGGGAGUCCAUCCUCCAUGCUCAUUAAAAUCCACACCUUCCUAUUUUAUCUGAGACUGAGGAUUUCAAAACACACACACACACACACACACACACGCACACACACACACACACACACGCACGUGAACACACACGGGAUCUCUGGAAGCCACCACCUCAAAGCCCUGCCAGGAGCAAACACUCCCUGGUGAGCAUUCAAAGGCAGGCGAUCAAGACGUACAAGAGAUGCAGGAGUUACAGGGAAGGCGCAGUUCUGAUGAGUUAGAACCAGUGUCCCCUGAGACGUGGACUUGCUCCAAGGAGCAGGACAGAAUGACCUCCAGAGUGUUUUUUAAUACACAAUGUUUAUUCUCACUGCAAUGGCAGAGACAAGGCAGUCCUGGAAAGAGAACAGCAUCCAGAGGUCAGCGAAAAUUGCCCGCAGUGGAAAAGCUAUUACCAAAUUUUAAAACACAAUAAAAGAGUUUAAUAAGGUGUCCGGUUUACAAAAUAAAUCCAUAAAAAUCGAUGGCUUUCGUUUUACACCAAUAAUAACCUGGCAGAAAGUGUAAUGGGAGGAAAAUUCCACAUGCAGUCAUGACAAUAAAUAUGAAAUACCCAGGAAUAAUUGCCCUGAGGUGUGCUGAAGUCCACGGUGAGCGCUUUAAAAUUUACUUGCCAAGAAGACACACAUAUCAUGCUCUUCAGAGGGAGCAGAGGAUAUGUAGUUUGAAUUUUCCGUGCUGUGAUUCUCAUUACCCUGGGAUUAAUUUGCUCUGGCAUCUGCAUUCUCCACGAUGCUGUGAACUCCAAGAUGCUGUGUCACUUCCUGCUGUGUUUUAGUACAUGUCCAGGUUCCUGGAUCAUAGCAGGUGCUCAGUAAAUACUGGCUGGCUUAGUGAGUCGAGAUGGAGAGGACCACACAUCCAGGCUGUUUUAAAGGAACCACCAGAGGAUCCAAGAUUGAGCCCUAAAGCCCGAAAGAAUGGCUCCAAACCACAGUGGUUUUUAGACAAUUAGAAAUUUAUUUCCCUCACUGUAGUAUUCCCGGAACCUCGGCAAAGAGGGUAGCGAUCAGCCUCUUAGGCAUUAUCCCAGCCUGGGGUGAAAGGGACAAAGGACCCACCCCACAAAAGCAGCCAUUCUCACGGCCCCAUGAAGCAGUAAGAGCUAGAAGUCCCCCUCAGACUCCUCUGUACUGGGGGCCAAUGAGGCUCCUUGGAAUGUUCCAGAGACUUCCUUGGGGAACAGGAAGUGCCUUCAAGGCUUUCGAAUGGCAGUGGAAGGAAACUAUUGUUUUUGGAAACAAAAUCUAACCUGGUAACUGCAGCCCUGUCUUCUUAGAAGCUGAGGACCAAAACGCAAUCCAAACAGCAGUGGAACAAAAUCUCUAGGCCCUCUCCUUCUUGAAGACCUUGAUGAGGAAGAGAGAAGGAGCAACUCUUCAGGCGGACGCCCCACUGCGUAGGGAGGAUCCUGAUGAAUUUCUGGUCUGCGGAGAGGCUCAGCGUCUAGUCUGGGAGUGAAAAACUGGAAAGCACAACUGUUCUGUGUAUUUAAAGGGAGGAAGAUUUGAGGGUUUACUGCAAACAGGGGGUGCAUUGGAGCAGAGGAGAAAGGAGAGAGCAAACUGGUGGAAGAACCAGGAGCCCAGGCUGGUGACAAUGGUCAGAGACUUUAGGAACCAGAAGUCCCAUGGCUCACCUAAGCCGGGCACAGAAACAGAUGGUUCUCAACAUCCAGGAAAGUUGCUGAGCUCCAUGCCUGGAUUUGCAAAAAGGAUAGGAUGCUGCCGAGGGAGGGAAGAGCCAGAGGAGGUCUGAGUUCUGCCAAAGGUCAAACACGAGGUGCAGAAUCCACAGGGAGACUCGGGAAGACAGCCCUCAAAGGAUUCCUCGGUGUGACUUGCAGGGAAGUUCCAAGAAAGCUCCCCUGAUCCAAAGCCACCCCAACGGCAGGUCUGAUGCCCAUGCAGAAGGUGAUAAACACUCUUGCCCAUCCUGCCCAGAGCAGACCACUCACAGAGCUCAAGCCUGGAAGGACUUUUGCAAGAGCCCAAUUCCUUUCCAACCUCAAGCUUGUCCAUAAAUGACCAUGAGAUCAGGGGAGUGGAAGUAUAGCAAGUGAGGACUGAUGAAAAGAACUGGGGGUGUUUGGACUAAAACAAGAAGGCCUGGGAGGACGAGAGAACCAUCUCCAAACCAGGAUGGGAAUGGGCUUAUCAUCUAUUAUGAUUCUGGAGGGCGAAACUGAAGUCAGAAGAUAGAAGCAGCAGGAAAAAAUAACUUGGCUCAAGGCAAGGGGGGCGUUCUUGCCGCUUGAGAAAGUGAAAGUGACUUCCUGUGAACAGUGAGAGAAGGGGCAGAGGAGGUGAGAGCCUGACCUCCGGUGCUUGGUGCGGAGUGGUGGGGCACAGUGUCCAAGCUGAAAUGGGGUGAGAUUCUUGGAUGGGAUGCCCUGAUUCUAACCCCCCGCUAAGAUCCCAGCAAUAACACCACCUGCAGAGCCCACCAUGGGAAACGGAGCUGCUCACAGGGCAGGAGGUGGCUCCCUGAAGCUGUGGUGACCCAACACUUUGGGGAUUAUUUCCAGAGUAAGCAUGAGUGUCUGUGAGUGCACGUGGGGACAGCAGGACAGACCCUCAGCAAGGUCUUGCAAUGACCUUCUCAAGUGGGCCUUCCCUGAACAGAGGGGUUUCCAGAACAUCUCCUUGCCUGAGUCACUGACUUAAAGGCAGAGAAUUGGGGAA
rnacentral:lncRNA from 1 species